rnacentral:tRNA from 1 species
GGGCGAUUAGCUCAGUUGGUUUAGAGCGCCUGCCUUACAAGCAGGAGGUCACUGGUUCGAAUCCAGUAUCGCCCA